CCUACGGGAGGCAGCAGUGGGGAAUAUUGCGCAAUGGGCGAAAGCCUGACGCAGCGACGCCGCGUGAGGGAUGAAGGUCUUCGGAUCGUAAACCUCUGUCAGCAGGGAAGAACGGUCACUGUGCUAAUCAGCAGUGAAUUGACGGUACCUGCAAAGGUAGCACCGGCUAACUCCGUGCCAGCAGCCGCGGCAAUACGGAGGGUGCGAGCGUUAAUCGGAAUUACUGGGCGUAAAGCGAUCGUAGGCGGUAUGUCAAGUCAAGGGUGAAAUCCCCGCGCUCAACGUGGGAACUGCCUUGGAAACUGGCAGACUGGAGUGUGUGAGAGGAUAGUGGAAUUCCAGGUGUAGGGGUGAAAUCCGUAGAUAGCAGGAGGAACAUCGGUGGCGAAGGCGACUAUCUGGCACAUAACUGACGCUGAGGAGCGAAAGCGUGGGUAGCAAACAGGAUUAGAUACCCUAGUAGUC
rnacentral:rRNA from 1 species